UGAAUACGAGACGCUAAGGCGUCGAAGUAGUGUAUGUCAUACUUCCAAGAAAAGCUUGCACUGUCAUAGAUAAAAAACGCCUGUACCAUAACCGACACAGGUGGGUAGGUAGAGUAUACUAAGGGGCGCGAGAUAUCUCUCUCUAAGGAACUCGGCAAAAUAACUCCGUAACUUCGGGAGAAGGAGUGCCUUAUUAUUAAGGUUGCAAUAACAAGAUCCAAGCAACUGUUUAUCAAAAACACAGGUCUCCGCUAAGUCGUAAGACGAUGUAUGGGGGCUGACGCCUGCCCAGUGCCAGAAGGUUAAAGAAGCUGGUUAGCAUUUGCGAAGCUAGUAACUGAAGCCCUGGUGAACGGCGGCCGUAACAAUAACGGUCCUAAGGUAGCGAAAUUCCUUGUCGGGUAAGUUCCGACCCGCACGAAAGGCGUAAUGAUUUGGAUACUGUCUCGGAGAGGGGCUUGGUGAAAUAGACUUGUCUGUGAAGAUGCGGACUACCUGCACCAGGACAGAAAGACCCUAUGAAGCUUUACUGUAACUUGAAAUUGAAAUUGGACUUUAUUCGCGCAGUAUAGGUGGGAGGCGUUGAUGAUAAUCUUGCGGGAUUAUUGGAGCCAUUAGUGAGAUACCACUCUUGUAAUGUUAGAUUUCUAACUUUGAAUCAUUAUCUGGUCAAAGAACAGUUUCAGGCGGGCAGUUUGACUGGGGCGGUCGCCUCCUAAACGGUAACGGAGGCGUACAAAGGUUUCCUCUGAACGGUUAGAAAUCGUAUCUAGAGUGUAAAGGCAUAAGGAAGCUUGACUGUGAGACCUACAAGUCGAGCAGGGACGAAAGUCGGUCUUAGUGAUCUGACGGUACUGAGUGGAAAGGCCGUCACUCAACGGAUAAAAGUUACUCUAGGAUAACAGGCUGAUCUCCCCCAAGAGUUCACAUCGACGGGGAGGUUUGGCACCUGAUGUCGGCUCAUCGCAUCCUGGGGCGGUAGUACGUCCCAAGGGUUGGGCUGUUCGCCCAUGAAAGCGGUACGCGAGCUGGGUUCAGAACGUCGUGAGACAGUUCGGUCCAUAUCCGGUGUAGGCGUUAGAAUAUUGAGAGGAGCCUUCUUUAGUACGAGAGGACCGAGAAGGACAUACCUCUGGUGUACCAGUUAUCGUGCCAACGGUAGACGCUGGGUAGCUAUGUAUGGAGUGGACAACCGCUGAAAGCAUCUAAGUGGGAAGCCCACCUCAAGAUAAGUAUUCUCAU
rnacentral:rRNA from 1 species